CUUGUGUUACUGUAGGUUUAACGUGUAUUAUUCAGCCAAUCACAACUUUGUGUCCACAGAUGAAUCAAGCUGUUGAGUUCAUUCUAACGUUUCUUUCCUCUACAGUCCACAGGGAGAAAACUGACUCAGAGACUUUGAAAGUAAAAUAAUAAAAAUGUUGGAUUAACACUCACCCUGCCUCCGCCUUCAGUUUUCCUCCUUCUGCUCUGUCAACAAAAAAUCGAGUCUGAACUAAUUGAACACUUUCAGUUUCAGGGUUCCCUCCUUGUUGUCAUGUGCCUCGAUCACAUGGUCAGUGUCGCUCCUCCCCUCUCCAUUUACAGGAUAUCAAGUGAGUUUAUCUGUGUGCGUGUGUGCGUGUGUGUGCAUGUGUGGUGCUCACACAGAUCAGCUGUUGAACAUGAUGUGUUAAUGAGCAUCUUUCUUGGUUCAAAGCGGUUGAAUUCAAAUUUUGAAUUAAAGUUGACAAAUAUGUAAAUAAAUCUAUUUUGUUUAAAACCUAAGUGCUUUUUCUGUAAUGUUUUGUUUUACAAUCUUAUAGGACUAAGACUCUUCUGAACAUCUGGAUGAAAAAUUAUUCUCUCCAUGCACGAUCUCUGGAAAUACCUUCAGAACAGCAGGAAGUGUUGCUGAAGGACUUUCUGCAACAUGCAGUGUUGUCUCCCUGCUGAGGAAUACUGUGAAAUAUCAUUUAUUGUGUGAUAUGUUACGUUGACGUCUGUCUAUGUGUAAUGCUGCUGACACUGUGAAUUGAGCCUUGUUACCAUGCUGUACUGAAAACUAACCUCACAGACUCUGGUCAUGUGGUCAGUACAGUACAGUGAAGAGGUUCUGCCAAAGACUCAUGGGAGAUGUAGUUGUUGAAUACUGUAGUCUCAUCUUUACUAAGAUGACGAGGUGUUCAGAUUUUGCUGUUCAGUGCGGUAUAUUUUCAUUAUACUGCUCUAUCCUGCAUUUAUGUACACACUUUAUAUCCUGCACUUGCUUAUUGCACUUCUGGUUAGACCUAAACUGUAUUUCGUUGCCUUGUACUUGUACAUGUGUAAUGCAAUAAUGUUGAAUCUAAAGAUACUCGUUUAUCUUAGAUUACGGACAGAAAACUACAGGAACAUGUUUACGUAGAGAUGCACAGUUAUGGAAUUUCAGGACUGAUAAACUGCAGUAUUUGCAUUGUAGUUGUCAAAGAAAUAUGUUUAUAUGGUCAUGUAAUUUUCAGAAUAUUGUUUAAGAUAGACAACAGAUUACAGAGCAGAAUAAUGAAGUGUGAAGAUACUGACUGAGAGAAAAAUCUGGAUUUAGAUGUUGAUCUACUCUGAUCUACUUUGGCUUUUAGUUUCUUCUUUCCAAUGUUCCUAAUAGGUUUCUUUACAUUGUGUUAUAAUUUGGUUUCCUCUGAUUGGUGCUUGAAAAUCAGUGUUUCAGAAGGGUUAAAUAUUGGUAUGUAAAGUGGCUAGCCACACAGCUAUUAUAAUAGUUAGCUUGUUGCUAACUGAAGCAGCCUUUAGUCUGAGAGCCACAGAGUGAAUCAGCUGCAGGUCCAUCAUCACCAUCUUCUCAUGUUACUGAGGACGUCGUCAGAGAAGUUGAACAGCUGAGUUAUUAUUGAACAUGACUCCUAGUAUUAAGACCAGUGAAUCAGUUUGAGAGCGACAGCAGCUUCUAAUCCUGUUUCCCUUUAAUACUGCGGCUACCUUCUCCUGGAAAUGCACGGAUCGUGUCUUUAAGUCUCUAAAGUUUCAUUCUGCUGCUUCUGUGUUACAGCAGACUGGACGAGCACUCGUUGGAAACGAAUUCACCUUAAUUCUGCAAAUAAAACGUGAUUCCAGUGAAGUUUUAUUCAGUUGUCUUUUAAUAUGAACUACAGUAAAUCUUUCUCUGUGAAGGAGUCAGAUGGCUUUCCACCUUUGUCUUAUGCUCAGAGUCAUAUGAAGACUUAAUUAACUGUGAGAGAGAUAAUGUUCCAUAAUGUAACACAGCUCACACAGUAAUUACAGUAUGUUGAGAAAAGAGGCUGAAAUCUGCUGAGACUUCAGGUUGUUUUAAACAUUUCAUUACUGAUGACUCUAAUAAGAACUGCUUCCACAGGGGAAGUAUAUUAAGCAGGUAUUUAAAGGUAGCAUGAAACACAAACAGUAUGUUUUGCAUAAAACCGAAGCAUGACGCAGAAUAAAAAUAAAAUAAAAAUAUGACUUUUUCCAUAGAGCUCCUCUGGAGUCUGUUGCUGCCUUUGUUUCUUCAUUUGACCUAAAAACACCUGAUUUAUUUGUUUUCCAUCAAAAAGAUACUUUUCAUGUCUGUACUUCAAAUCGUUUUAUUUACAUCAUUAUUGACUAUAAUAUCUAUCUAUAGUUACACCUUAAUAAACAUCAAACAGCAUUUUUACAUUAACUAUAUACAAAAUAAAGUAUUAAGUGCUGACUUUCCACAAAAAUCAUCUGUUUGUAGUCAGCUGAGAAACUGAAGUGAAGUCCUGAUUGAAUCCAGACUUUGUUCAGGUUUUAUUGGUGCUAAUAACCAGAACUUCAGAGAGGAAACUUUACACAUGCAACAUCAACUUCCACUGUUAUUCAGAAAUAUGUGGAAAUGAACUGCAUCGUUCCACAGGGUGGAGCUGCGACAGAAAGCAAAACAGAAAUAUCCAAUUAAAUGUGUUAAUCUACAGUUAUGUUGUCAGAAACAGAACUAAUCUGCAGAGGCACUUUGGGUUCAGAAUGAAUAAAAAAGACAAAAUAAAGUCCAGGUCCAGGUGGAGGAGGUGGCUGAGUGUGGAGCAGAAGGAGU